GGGUUGUGAGGUUAAGCGACUAAGCGUACACGGUGGAUGCCCUGGCAGUCAGAGGCGAUGAAGGACGUGCUAAUCUGCGAUAAGCGUCGGUGAGGUGAUAUGAACCGUUAUAACCGGCGAUUUCCGAAUGGGGAAACCCAGUGUGUUUCGACACACUAUCAUUAACUGAAUCCAUAGGUUAAUGAGGCGAACCGGGGGAACUGAAACAUCUAAGUACCCCGAGGAAAAGAAAUCAACCGAGAUUCCCCCAGUAGCGGCGAGCGAACGGGGAGGAGCCCAGAGCCUGAAUCAGUGUGUGUGUUAGUGGAAGCGUCUGGAAAGGCGCGCGAUACAGGGUGACAGCCCCGUACACAAAAAUGCACAUACUGUGAGCUCGAUGAGUAGGGCGGGACACGUGGUAUCCUGUCUGAAUAUGGGGGGACCAUCCUCCAAGGCUAAAUACUCCUGACUGACCGAUAGUGAACCAGUACCGUGAGGGAAAGGCGAAAAGAACCCCGGCGAGGGGAGUGAAAAAGAACCUGAAACCGUGUACGUACAAGCAGUGGGAGCCUCUUAAUGGGGUGACUGCGUACCUUUUGUAUAAUGGGUCAGCGACUUAUAUUCUGUAGCAAGGUUAACCGAAUAGGGGAGCCGAAGGGAAACCGAGUCUUAACUGGGCGUUAAGUUGCAGGGUAUAGACCCGAAACCCGGUGAUCUAGCCAUGGGCAGGUUGAAGGUUGGGUAACACUAACUGGAGGACCGAACCGACUAAUGUUGAAAAAUUAGCGGAUGACUUGUGGCUGGGGGUGAAAGGCCAAUCAAACCGGGAGAUAGCUGGUUCUCCCCGAAAGCUAUUUAGGUAGCGCCUCGUGAAUUCAUCUCCGGGGGUAGAGCACUGUUUCGGCAAGGGGGUCAUCCCGACUUACCAACCCGAUGCAAACUGCGAAUACCGGAGAAUGUUAUCACGGGAGACACACGGCGGGUGCUAACGUCCGUCGUGAAGAGGGAAACAACCCAGACCGCCAGCUAAGGUCCCAAAGUCAUGGUUAAGUGGGAAACGAUGUGGGAAGGCCCAGACAGCCAGGAUGUUGGCUUAGAAGCAGCCAUCAUUUAAAGAAAGCGUAAUAGCUCACUGGUCGAGUCGGCCUGCGCGGAAGAUGUAACGGGGCUAAACCAUGCACCGAAGCUGCGGCAGCGACACUAUGUGUUGUUGGGUAGGGGAGCGUUCUGUAAGCCUGUGAAGGUGGCCUGUGAGGGUUGCUGGAGGUAUCAGAAGUGCGAAUGCUGACAUAAGUAACGAUAAAGCGGGUGAAAAGCCCGCUCGCCGGAAGACCAAGGGUUCCUGUCCAACGUUAAUCGGGGCAGGGUGAGUCGACCCCUAAGGCGAGGCCGAAAGGCGUAGUCGAUGGGAAACAGGUUAAUAUUCCUGUACUUGGUGUUACUGCGAAGGGGGGACGGAGAAGGCUAUGUUGGCCGGGCGACGGUUGUCCCGGUUUAAGCGUGUAGGCUGGUUUUCCAGGCAAAUCCGGAAAAUCAAGGCUGAGGCGUGAUGACGAGGCACUACGGUGCUGAAGCGACAAAUGCCCUGCUUCCAGGAAAAGCCUCUAAGCAUCAGGUAACAUUAAAUCGUACCCCAAACCGACACAGGUGGUCAGGUAGAGAAUACCAAGGCGCUUGAGAGAACUCGGGUGAAGGAACUAGGCAAAAUGGUGCCGUAACUUCGGGAGAAGGCACGCUGAUAUGUAGGUGAAGCGACUUGCUCGUGGAGCUGAAAUCAGUCGAAGAUACCAGCUGGCUGCAACUGUUUAUUAAAAACACAGCACUGUGCAAACACGAAAGUGGACGUAUACGGUGUGACGCCUGCCCGGUGCCGGAAGGUUAAUUGAUGGGGUUAGCGGCAACGCGAAGCUCUUGAUCGAAGCCCCGGUAAACGGCGGCCGUAACUAUAACGGUCCUAAGGUAGCGAAAUUCCUUGUCGGGUAAGUUCCGACCUGCACGAAUGGCGUAAUGAUGGCCAGGCUGUCUCCACCCGAGACUCAGUGAAAUUGAACUCGCUGUGAAGAUGCAGUGUACCCGCGGCAAGACGGAAAGACCCCGUGAACCUUUACUAUAGCUUGACACUGAACAUUGAGCCUUGAUGUGUAGGAUAGGUGGGAGGCUUUGAAGUGUGGACGCCAGUCUGCAUGGAGCCGACCUUGAAAUACCACCCUUUAAUGUUUGAUGUUCUAACGUGGGCCCCUUACCGGGGUUGCGGACAGUGUCUGGUGGGUAGUUUGACUGGGGCGGUCUCCUCCUAAAGAGUAACGGAGGAGCACGAAGGUUGGCUAAUCCUGGUCGGACAUCAGGAGGUUAGUGCAAUGGCAUAAGCCAGCUUGACUGCGAGCGUGACGGCGCGAGCAGGUGCGAAAGCAGGUCAUAGUGAUCCGGUGGUUCUGAAUGGAAGGGCCAUCGCUCAACGGAUAAAAGGUACUCCGGGGAUAACAGGCUGAUACCGCCCAAGAGUUCAUAUCGACGGCGGUGUUUGGCACCUCGAUGUCGGCUCAUCACAUCCUGGGGCUGAAGUAGGUCCCAAGGGUAUGGCUGUUCGCCAUUUAAAGUGGUACGCGAGCUGGGUUUAGAACGUCGUGAGACAGUUCGGUCCCUAUCUGCCGUGGGCGCUGGAGAACUGAGGGGGGCUGCUCCUAGUACGAGAGGACCGGAGUGGACGCAUCACUGGUGUUCGGGUUGUCAUGCCAAUGGCACUGCCCGGUAGCUAAAUGCGGAAGAGAUAAGUGCUGAAAGCAUCUAAGCACGAAACUUGCCCCGAGAUGAGUUCUCCCUGACCCUUUAAGGGUCCUGAAGGAACGUUGAAGACGACGACGUUGAUAGGCCGGGUGUGUAAGCGCAGCGAUGCGUUGAGCUAACCGGUACUAAUGAACCGUGAGGCUUAACCUUACAACGCCGAAGGUGUUU
rnacentral:rRNA from 1 species